UACGAAGGGGGGCUAGCGUUGCUCGGAAUCACUGGGCGUAAAGGGUGCGUAGGCGGCGCGGUAAGUCGGGUGUGAAAUCUUGGAGCUUAACUCCGAAACUGCAUUCGAUACUGCCGUGCUUGAGGACUGGAGAGGAGACUGGAAUUUACGGUGUAGCGGUGAAAUGCGUAGAUAUCGUAAGGAAGACCAGUGGCGAAGGCGGGUCUCUGGACAGUUCCGUGACGCUGAGGCGCGAGAGCGUGGGGAGCAAACAGGG
rnacentral:rRNA from 1 species